GGACACAAGCACUAGCCCUCCUC
rnacentral:siRNA from 1 species